CUCAAACCAUGAUAUUUAAGGCAGGCGCUUGAAUCUAGACUUUUAUUCGUUCUACAAUCUUGCGACUCGCCUAACUUCUAUAUAAGAUCUCUGUUGAAAAGAAAGCAUUUUCUGUCGAUAUGACUCGGCUCUGCCUCCUUGUCUUCUCCGUUGGCCUGUAUGCGGCCUCUUUCACUUGCACUGAAGCCGCUACUGCACGCCCUCAAAAAGGGACUGAUGAAAAAUCCAGCCGUGGAGAACCGCUGAACGGGAUUAGUAAUGACGUCCUUGCCAAAUUGAACUCGGAUCAGGACUUGGAAAGGUUUUGGCAGAAUGUCUCUAGCAGUGAAUUAGAUUUAGAACCAGGUCUAAAAAAUUUCGCUGAAUUCGCUAAAAAUGUUUUGAAGUCCUAUCCUGCUCUACUGAAGAGAUUGAAAAAUAUAGCUAAAAUAUUGAGCUCGGACCCUUUCUUCGUGAAGGCGGUGGAAAUUUUUAUCAAGGAAGAGGAAUCAACCAGCCCGCCCAAAUCGCAAACUGAUCUAGAAUUAUUUCUAGAAAAAGAAUUGCGCUCAAAUCCAGCCUUAGCACGAAAAUUGAAGGAUAUUAUAAGCAAAGCGAUGGAAACUGAUCGUGAUUUGGAACAGGUGCUGAAGAAUCCCGCGUUUAAAGGGUUACGCGAAAACUUUAGUAUGCAGAAAUGGAAAAAAAUUUUGGACGACGCAAUUCAAUCCAAUCCUACCGAGGCAAUGAAACUUUAUAAAUUUGUAGAAAAUUCGCUGCUUUCUGUACAAUCCGUGGUCAUCGUGUAUGCCGCCUUUGGUAAAGAUCUCUAGACAAACGGAGUUUACCAGCCGACCAUCUUUCAUUGGUGCAAUGAUGGCACAAUAUUGUUACAAGAUCUUUUCACAUAUUUUUAACAUAGACAUACACCUAAGGCCGAUUUAAUCCUGAAAUAUUUUGGCUCCGAAAAAUAGAAUACCUUUUGUACCCCUCCAAACAAGCUUUGUUAAAUGUAUUUUCUGUUUGAAAAAUCCCUGUCUUUUAGAUAAGAGUUCAGUUCCAACAGUUUUUGGCCCCAUUUCAAAUGCCUAAAAUCUAAAUUCUUUACAAAUGUGUUUACGAUUUUUUUUUAAUUGGCAUUCUUUAAAAAAAUACUCAAAAUUUUGGAAAAAUUAUUAUUGUAUCUUCUUGCUCUUCUAUUUAACUGCGUGCAGAGCGUACAUCCACGGAUGAGAAUUUUUCCUUAGGCAGUAAAUAAAAAUUAUUAAAAAAAUUACCGUGAUUUAUUUUUUUACGGCAAAUCGUGAAAAAAAUUAAAUCCUUUGUUAACACUGUCUUUACAUAAUUUUUCACGCGGGAUAAAUAGUCCAAUUUAUACCUUUUUUUCGUAAUAGUUUAAUCAAUGAUUUAUCAAACGCAAUAUGCGUGUCACACAAUCCUAAAAUUUAUCAUUUUUUACAUAUUCUUAAUGGUUUUAAACGCAAUUAAGUUUGUAACAAUUCCUUGCUAACUAAAAAGAGCGCCUUUUGCCAAAAUGUACCGAGAUUGAAACGCGAGAGCCGGCAGAGCAGCAAGACAGGCGAAUUCAAUUUUGCGCUGCUUUUGUAUAUGCGCACAAUAGAAGGCGUACGCGCGUCACAUCUGCUUUUAGAAGAACAGGAGGACAAGAAAAGCAUAUGAGCUACUUCAUAUUCGUACAAACGAAACAAGCCGUUUUUCUUGUCUUUUCAACGCAAGCCCGUGCGGAGUUUUGAAUGUGUAAAUUUUGAAUGCGCGCGGUGGCGAGACUUAAAGAAGCGUUUUGCACGCUUCUUUGAUGCUCACGAAAUGCGAUAUCAUCUAGCUUUGGUUUGGCAUAAAUAUCUUGUUUCGCAUCCACUUUGUAAUUUAAUUUAAUUUUGCUCUUCGCCAGUUUAAAUUUUACUGUGUUUAAAAAAUUGUCAUGUACCUUUCGGAACAAUAAAUUUCAUUAUAUUGGCA